UAGCAAGCAAUGUCAAUCUAAAAACAGCUUCAAUCAUUUUUCCAUGCUUAACAAUAGUUUCUUAUCUCUUUACAGUCAUUUCCUGUCUUCUGAAGCACUAGGUAGUCACCGUCAAAAACACCAUCCUUGGAGAACGAUUCUGAGGUCAUAAUUUUGGAGCUCUGGAGGAUCAGCUAAACCUCUGUGUGUUUGAGAGAGAAAACAGGGAGCUGCAGAACUGGCUUUUCUCCCUCAAGACCCUGGCUGAGUCAAAAGACUUUGGACAGGACCUGGAGGACGUGGAGGAGAGACUUGGUGGUCAUUGAGGCGGAGGUGUCCUGGACUAAAGAGGGGCAGGGGCUGACCAGGAAGUACCCCCAGGUGCGGGCCAGUCUGAGUGAGAGACCACAGGAAAUGGAGGUGUGCUGGGCAAGUCUGCAGGCCAAGGCCAUCCAACGCAGGAAGAAACUGGGGCAGGCUGAGGCUGUGCAGAGAUAUCUCACAGAAUGGACAGAACUCAUUUGGAGGAGCGUCUUCUGGAGCUGCAGGAGUUGGAGACGCGGGUGCAGGAGGUCUAGGAGGAGUGGAGGCUGUUGUACCAGGAGGAAGUAGAGAUCCUACGGCUACAGAGGGAACUGGAGCAGGCAGAGCACUGGCUCAGUACCUACGAAGCCACUCUGAGGGCAGAGGAGUACGGGGUGAAGACAGCCCAGUUAAACAAAAGCCUUUAGCUCAGCGGGCUAACACACUCUUGUGGUGCACAGAAGACCUGGGUUUGAACUUAGUCACUUACAUAAGUCAUCAUGCUUUCUGAUAAUAGUAUGAAAUAGUUAACAUUUUCUUGAAUUAACGAUUUUUGAUGAUACUGCUGAUUGACUUUAGUCUUAUGUAUUUUCGUUUUUGACACACUAAGUGAAAGUUGGUUAAUCCUGGUUAAAUUGCUCAGUGAUGCCUGUUUUCCUUCCCAGGACUCUGUGUCAGACAUUCUGGAGUGGAUGAAGAAACAGGAGGACUUGGGGGCUAUGAUUCAAGCCCAAAGUGACAGGUUCAGCACCUCACAGAAGAAGAAAACACAGGAGAGUGACAACUGAUGUUACGGCUCUCUACGGUUGUCUGUCAUUUUUUGACAAUGACAAACGAAAAGAUGACUUUUGCAUGAAUACAGUAGAUAACUCACACGUCUAGAUCCAAGAUCACGUAGCAGUGCAGACUGUCACGCCCUGACCAUAGAGAGCUGUUUAUUCUAUAUGUUGGUUGGGGCGUGACAGUGACUAGGGUGGGUUAUCUAGGUGAUUUAUGAUCUAUGUUGGCCUGGUAUGGUUCCCAAUCAGAGGCAGCUGUUUAUCGUCGUCUCUGAUUGGGGAUCAUAUUUAGGCAGCCAUUUCCCCAUUGUGCUUUGUGGGAUCUUGUCUAGGUAUAGGUGCCUGCGAGCACUUCAUUGAGCUUCACGGUUCGUUUAACACGUUAUUUGUUUUUUCUUUUAGUUACUUUUCCUAAUAAAGAGGAUGGAAACAUACCACGCUGCAUCUUGGUCCACUCCUUAUAACG
rnacentral:lncRNA from 1 species